rnacentral:rRNA from 1 species
UGCCAGCAGCCGCGGUAACACGUAAGGGGCGAGCGUUGUUCGGAUUUAUUGGGCGUAAAGGGCGUGUAGGCGGUUUAUCAAGCCUGAUGUGAAAGACCCUGGCUUAACCAGGAGAGCGCGUUGGGAACUGAUAGACUAGAGUAUAGGAGGGGUAGUUGGAAUUCCAGGUGUAGGGGUGAAAUGCGUAGAUAUCUAGAGGAACGCCGGUGGCGAAAGCGACAUCCUGGCCUGUAUCUGACGCUGAGAUGUGAAAGCGUGGGGAGCAAACAGGAUUAGAUA